rnacentral:rRNA from 1 species
UACGUAGGGAGCAAGCGUUGUCCGGAAUUAUUGGGCGUAAAGAGCUCGUAGGCGGUCUGUUGCGUCCGCUGUGAAAACUCGGGGCUUAACCCCGAGCCUGCAGUGGAUACGGGCAGACUAGAGGUAGGUAGGGGAGAAUGGAAUUCCCGGUGUAGCGGUGAAAUGCGCAGAUAUCAGGAGGAACACCAGUGGCGAAGGCGGCCAACUGGUCCGGUACUGACGCUGAGGUGCGAAAGCGUGGGGAGCGAACAGG